UACGUAGGGAGCAAGCGUUGUCCGGAAUCAUUGGGCGUAAAGCGCGCGUAGGCGGCCCGAUAAGUCCGCUGUGAAAGUCAACGGCUCAACUGUUGGAUGCCGGUGGAUACUGUCGGGCUAGAGUACGGAAGAGGCAAGUGGAAUUCCUGGUGUAGCGGUGGAAUGCGCAGAUAUCAGGAGGAACACCUAGAGCGAAGGCAGCUUGCUGGGACGUUACUGACGCUAAGGCGCGAAAGCGUGGGGAGCGAACAGG
rnacentral:rRNA from 1 species